rnacentral:rRNA from 1 species
AUGAACGCUAGCUACAGGCUUAACACGUGCAAGUCGAGGGGCAGCAUGAACUUAGCUUGCUAAGUUUGAUGGCGACCGGCGCACGGGUGAGUAACACGUAUCCAACCUGCCGAUGACUCGGGGAUAGCCUUUCGAAAGAAAGAUUAAUACCCGAUGGCAUAGUUCUUCCGCAUGGUAGAACUAUUAAAGAAUUUCGGUCAUCGAUGGGGAUGCGUUCCAUUAGGUUGUUGGCGGGGUAACGGCCCACCAAGCCUUCGAUGGAUAGGGGUUCUGAGAGGAAGGUCCCCCACAUUGGAACUGAGACACGGUCCAAACUCCUACGGGAGGCGGCAGUGAGGAAUAUUGGUCAAUGGACGAGAGUCUGAACCAGCCAAGUAGCGUGAAGGAUGACUGCCCUAUGGGUUGUAAACUUCUUUUAUACGGGAAUAAAGUGAGGCACGUGUGCCUUUUUGUAUGUACCGUAUGAAUAAGGAUCGGCUAACUCCGUGCCAGCAGCCGCGGUAAUACGGAGGAUCCGAGCGUUAUCCGGAUUUAUUGGGUUUAAAGGGAGCGUAGGCGGACGCUUAAGUCAGUUGUGAAAGUUUGCGGCUCAACCGUAAAAUUGCAGUUGAUACUGGGUGUCUUGAGUACAGUAGAGGCAGGCGGAAUUCGUGGUGUAGCGGUGAAAUGCUUAGAUAUCACGAAGAACUCCGAUUGCGAAGGCAGCUUGCUGGACUGUAACUGACGCUGAUGCUCGAAAGUGUGGGUAUCAAACAGGAUUAGAUACCCUGGUAGUCCACACAGUAAACGAUGAAUACUCGCUGUUUGCGAUAUACAGUAAGCGGCCAAGCGAAAGCGUUAAGUAUUCCACCUGGGGAGUACGCCGGCAACGGUGAAACUCAAAGGAAUUGACGGGGGCCCGCACAAGCAGUGGAGUAUGUGGUUUAAUUCGAAGCAACGCGAAGAACCUUACCAGGUCUUGACAUCCUACUAACGAGAUAGAGAUAUGUUAGGUGCCCUUCGGGGAAAGUAGAGACAGGUGGUGCAUGGUUGUCGUCAGCUCGUGUCGUGAGAUGUUGGGUUAAGUCCCGCAACGAGCGCAACCCCUAGUAUUAGUUGCCAGCGAGUAAUGUCGGGAACUCUAAUACGACUGCCGGUGAUAAAUCGGAGGAAGGUGGGGACGACGUCAAAUCAUCAUGCCCUUUAUGUCUUGGGCUACACACGUACUACAAUGGCUAUAACAAAGAGAAGCGAAAUAGCGAUAUGGAGCAAAACUCAAAAAAAUAGUCUCAGUUCGGAUUGAAGGCUGAAAUUCGCCUUCAUGAAGCUGGAAUUGCUAGUAAUGGCAGGUCAGCAUACUGCCGUGAAUACGUUCCCGGGCCUUGUACACACCGCCCGUCACACCAUGAGAGUUGGAAAUACCCGAAGCCUGUGAGCUAACCUAAGAGGCAGCAGUCGAAGGUAGAGCCAAUGAUUGGGGUG